AUGAGGGUGCUGAGAAAUGUUGAAGAUGUUGGUGGGGAAAAUCUGACGGGAAAACUAAGCUUGGCGCCUGUGGAAACUUUGUGGAACGAAUGGGAGAUCCACUGCCUGGUGCUCACGAGCUUGGCAUUGCAAUUCCUCCUCUUCCUCGCAGCAGGGAUGCGAAGGCGUAGCACAUCGUGCAUCCUCGGCGCCGUCCUGUGGCUCGCCUACCUGUUAGCCGACUCUGUGGCUGUCUUCGUCCUUGGCCACCUCGCCGUCCGCGUGAGCGGACCACAACACGAGCUCAUCGCCUUCUGGGCACCAUUCCUGCUCGUCCACCUGGGCGGACAGGACACCAUCACCGCCCUGUCCAUGCAGGACAAUGAGUUGUGGAAUCGUCACCUCCUAGGCCUCGUCUCCCAGGUGGCAGUGGCCGGCUAUGUCGUGUCCAAGCCGUCUUGGACAGAUAAGCGGCUGUUGGCUGCCACCGUGCUCGUCUUCCUCUCUGGGAGCUUCAAGUAUGCUGUCCGCACUUGCUGCCUUUACAUAGCCAGGCCAGCACAAAUCAGGGGUGCAUCCAUGCGUAUUUUGUCAGACACACUAACGAUGCUGAAGGAUGCCACGGAAGAUGUAGGACAUGCGCCCACACUCCUGAGAACACAGAGAGAUUUACUUAGGUUUUGGAAUGCCAAAUUUGAUUUGAUGCUGGGUAAAUCUGACAAGAGGGGUUUUCUUUUGGAGAAGGAAAUAUAUCAAGAUGCCAAGGAAAUCAUGUCGGUGGACGCUCCUCCAAAUAACAAGGAGAGCGUUUUACUUCGGGAUGAUCUGCCAAACAUGCUAGAGAAGUUUCAAUCAACCUCAUGCCUCCAUCAGCCAUAUGACUAUGUUGGCAGAAAUUUGGUAAAAUGUUAUGAGAGGUUCUACACAAAAAUGCCACUUCUACGUUUCUUCCACACGGUCGUUAUCCUACUCCAAAAUUUUCCUAUCCCGAUAGCCCUAGUGCUCUUCACCAUGGCUGAAAAGGGGAACCAAAUCCAUAAUAGAGCUGAUGUUACUGUGUCCUACAUAUUGCUCAUAGGAGCCAUAAUCCUAGACGUGUCCUCUGCCUCCAUGUCCAUUCUUUCCUUCGUGGGAUCCAACAUUUGUAGAGGUAGGAUUAAAAUCAUGGUCUUGAGUGUGGCCAACUACAUUCAGCCAACAUGUUACAAAAGACAGUGGUCCGAGGAGUUAGCGCAAUACAGCAUGGUUAAGAGGUACGCCACAGGAGAUGCUAGAGGCAUGCCAUAUGUGCGGCAAUGGAUUGGCAAGCGUUUAAUAGCUUGCGGUGUCGAACUAUUGGAUCCAAGCAUGACACACACACAUGUCACCGAAGAUCUCAAGGGGUUUGUCCUCAACAAAUUGGUACAGUUUGGAAUUAAAAAACAGUACAAUUUUGCCGAUUUCCGUGGCCAGCUAGCACUUCAAGAGUGGAGGAAGAAUGGUCCAGGGACGGAGGCUCUGUAUUAUAGCAUCAACGAGGUGAAGGAUUUCCCCACAAGCAUCCUAAUCUGGCAUAUUGCAACAGACAUUUGCUACUACUCUGGAAGCAGCUGCACGGCCAACACAGAAUGUGAUAGCAGCUCUGAACUCGGUCAUAACAAAGUAUAUGUUGAAAUGAAGAAUGUUCUUCGAUUGCAGCAGCUACAGAUGGUUAAUCCAAGAGAAGAAGCUAUCAUGAAGAAACUCCUGGAGAGCAUGGCCGAUGCUAUUUAUUUUCCAAUACUGCAUCAUGCAACUAAGGUGGCCAAGGAGCUCAUGGGUAUCAAUGAUGAAGGUGAGCGGUGGGAUCUCAUCACUGCAGUGUGGUCAGAUAUGCUGUACUACAUCGCGCCUCGUUGUGGGUGCACUUUCCAUUAUCAGCAUCUUAGCACAGGUGGGGAGUUCAUCACACAUGUCCUACACCUCAUGCAUUCUCUAGGCCCAUUUCUACCAGGACCUGGCAAUUCAGCUCCUGUCCAGUCGUCUACCCUUGGUGUGGAGCCGAAGCGGACGCUCCAACAAACGCACAAAAAACGCGCGCGUGGUAUAAUGCGUUCAGCGCAUGGAGUAAAACUACAUCACGCGCCGCUUAUUUCGUGUGCCCGCUCCCGCGCGUUGGACAUUCGAGCGCCCGCUCCCGCGCGCUGGACAUUCGAGCGCCCGCGACCAACCGCCGCCCACCUUCCCGGCAGCCCCGCCUUCGACCCGCCCCGCGCCACCGCCGGUGAAAUUCGACCGAUGGAAGGCCGCGCCGACAUCCCCCUCACCUCUCCCUACACCCGCGACCCCUCCACCGUCGCCGCAAACCCUAGCACGGGGGUUGAGCUUCGGCUUCGGCCCGGCGGCCCCCCUCCAAGCGCCGGUCUCACAGGCGGCCUUUUCAUGCCGCCACGGACGACCUUGCAGGGUGGCCCACGGGUAGCCGUCUCCAAGCGACCAAAUGCUGCGACGGUGACAGCGGGGAAGGUGUCCCAGAAGAAGAAGAAGGAGGAUGGCCCUUCUAGGCGGCCAAAGAUGAAGCUUGCAGGGCGUCUGGUCGUGCCUCCGCCGACUGACGCGGCGGAGAGCUCGCAAUUUGUUGUGCCGGCGGCCGACGCGCACAAGUGCAUGAAGACGAUCAUGAGUUUGAGGUGGAUGAGGAUGGAGGGUAUAGUCGAUGCACCGAAAGAAAGAGAGGGCAACUACACCAUGGAGGAAGACAUUUUGCUAUGCAAUACAUGGUUACAUGUGUUUAUGGAUGCCAACAUUGGAUGGGACCAAAGUAGAGAUGCAUAUUGGGACCGGAUGAAGGAGCACAUUGAUUUACAAAACAAGACUGGAAUUGACCGCACGGAUAGAUCUCUUUGGUCUCGGUGGUCGACAAUCAACAAAGAUUGUCAAAGGUGGGCGGUGGCACUUAAGGCGGUUGACACGAUAAAUCCAAGUGACACUAAUGAUAGAGAUAGGCUCACUAUUGCACGAAACUUAUUUCAAGGAGAAGAGAAGAAGACCAAGAAAGGAAACGCAUGGGAGCAACCAUGGGAGGCAUGGGAGGCUUCGGAGGCAUGGGUUGCUUUCGGGGCUACCAUGGGAGGCAUGGGAGCACCGACGGGAGGCAUGGGAGCACCUAUGGGAGGCAAGGGUGGCUUCGGAGCAACCAUGAGCGGUAUGGGAGGCUUCAGAGCUACCAUGGGAGGCAUUGGUGGCUUAGCAGCUACCAUGGGCAGCACGGGAGGCACGAGCUUUGGCUCUCUCAAGAGAGGCAUGGGAGCACCUCCGGGUGACAUUGGUGGACACAUGUCUUUCGGUGUGCCUCACAUACCUUUGCAUGAUGCCGUUGGAUAUCUUGCGAACACCAUUCGAGCUCCCAAUGACGAUGCGGCGCGCGACAAUGAAGAGGAGGGGGAAGAAUCGUCUUCGGAUGAGGAAGAAUCGGAGGAAGAAGAAGACGACGAUGAUAUCUACUUGUGUUGUUGGGGCUACACACUACGUACGUUCGAUCCCCAAAAUUUCCGCACCCCAAAACCUUUUCUCCUGAUCAAGAUCAAUCGCAAAUCCAUGAAUCUGGGAUCGGGGCCUAGGGUCGACUCGCAGGCGUCGCCGCGAUCUGCAGCUGGGGCAGACCGCAUCAGCACGCGCCAGCGUCCUCUCCAGCCGGUGGAACGGCCUCUGGACCCGCCUUCUAUGAUCUAUACUGGCAUCACCCUCAACGCUAUCACGGUCCGCUCGCCGUCGCUGCAGGAGCUCGUGCUCGAGGUGGAGAGCCAAACGAGCGUACGCGGCUUCAUGGUCGCAGCACCCAUGCUGGAGCAACUAACCGUGUCCGCCCGGGUGAGAGACGACCUCAGCGUCUCCGUACUGGCGCCAAUAUAUGGCGAUGUCUCAUGGCACUGCCGUUACCGCAGCAAGUCCAUGGGGAUUGGAGGCUGGGCGCUUGAGAGAGUGAGCCUUGUGAUGUCGCCGACGGCGAGACGACAAGCUCCAGUGCUGCAGAUACAAGUUUUCAAGGACAAAGUGAAUUGCCAAAAGUAUUGCGGCUGCGAGCCUAAUGACUGGACAGGCCAAACUAUCACCUUGACGGAGAUUGAAGAAGUGGAAAUCGACGGUUUUCAAGGAGACAACUACGAGUUUGACUUCCUGGAACAUCUAUUAAGAUGUGCGCCGAUGCUUAAAAGAGUGAUCCUAAAAUGGUCAGGAUGA
rnacentral:rRNA from 1 species